rnacentral:rRNA from 1 species
CCUAAGGUAGCGAAAUUCCUUGUCGGGUAAGUUCCGACCUGCACGAAUGGCGUAACGACUUCCCCGCUGUCUCCAACAUAGACUCAGUGAAAUUGAAUUGCCUGUCAAGAUGCAGGCUUCCCGCGGUUAGACGGAAAGACCCCGUGCACCUUUACUACAACUUUACACUGAUAACAGGCACAACAUGUGCAGAAUAGGUGGUAGGCUUUGAAGCAGAAACGCCAGUUUUUGUGGAGCCUCCUUUGAGAUACCACCCUUGUUUUGCUUGUUAUCUAACUGCGGUCCGUUAUCCGGAUCCAGGACCCUGUAUGGUGGGUAGUUUGACUGGGGCGGUCGCCUCCUAAAGCGUAACGGAGGCGCGCGAAGGUUGGCUCAGAGCGGUCGGAAAUCGCUCGUUGAGUGCAAUGGCAGAAGCCAGCCUGACUGCGAGACUGACAAGUCGAGCAGAGUCGAAAGACGGCCAUAGUGAUCCGGUGGUCCCGAGUGGAAGGGCCAUCGCUCAACGGAUAAAAGGUACGCCGGGGAUAACAGGCUGAUACUGCCCAAGAGUCCAUAUCGACGGCAGUGUUUGGCACCUCGAUGUCGGCUCAUCUCAUCCUGGGGCUGGAGCAGGUCCCAAGGGUACGGCUGUUCGCCGUUUAAAGAGGUACGUGAGCUGGGUUUAGAACGUCGUGAGACAGUUCGGUCCCUAUCUGCCGUGGGUGUAGGAUACUUGAGAGGAGUUGCCCCUAGUACGAGAGGACCGGGGUGAACGAUCCACUGGUGGACCAGUUGUCGACUACGGCAGUGCUGGGUAGCUAUGAUCGGACAGGAUAACCGCUGAAAGCAUCUAAGCGGGAAGCCCCCCUCAAAACAAGGUAUCCCUGAGGACCGAGGUAGACCACCUCGUCGAUAGGCCAGAGGUGUAAGCGUGGUAACACGUUCAGCUGACUGGUACUAAUGGUCCGAUAGGCUUGAUUUG